AUCCUGUGCAAUCUGCUUGCAGCAGCACUGUUUUCAUGUUCUUUCUGGAUACCCUGGUAAUCGCUGGGAAGAGAACUAUUUAUCAGGACAUUACUCCAAACUAUUGUUGCCAUCUCACAGAAAAAGCAUGCAAAGACAUUUUAAAGAGACUAAGUUGUCAGUGGGUAUCUCCAGCACCAGGGAGAAAGGUCUUAUAAGAUCAGCAGCAUGUAGAAGCAAAACAAGAGUCUGAAGCAAAUGGAUGUCACAGCUAAUAAGCGGGAAAGGAGCUCAGUUCCUGCUGGAAGAACGGGGCUGGUGCUGCUCCUCUGCCCCAUCAGCCUCCGCAGCUGCCAGAAUCAUCAGAAUAACCUCAAAAGGUUCAAAAGAUAGAUAUCUCUAAUGAUGACCAAUGGCGUACUAGCAAGGAUUUCAUGAGCUGCUAGUCACAGGUAUCUUACAAAAUGGGAUCUCGGCACCAUAGGUCUGAAAUAAUGUUAAAGAUACUGGGAAAAAAACCUGAAGCAUGAGGCACCAUGUUUUAAAGAGUGAAUGUUGAAGGAGAAAUAAAGCACCAGACCAGUCCCUUUUUACCUUUCUUGGCCUCAAAAUAAAAGGUAAUACCCUGCUUUGCACUGUACUAAAAGUAGUAUCCAUUUUAGAAAGUUUACAAUUCUUUAAAUUCAUCCUAAACUACCUAUAGACAA